CACGGGGGGAGCAAGCGUUGUUCGGAAUCACUGGGCGUAAAGGGCGUGCAGGCGGUCAGGUAAGUGGGAUGUGAAAUGCCCCGGCUCACCCGGGGACCGGCAUCUCAUACUGCUUGGCUUGAGUACGGGAGAGGAUGUGGGAAUUCCUGGUGUAGCGGUGAAAUGCGCAGAUAUCAGGAGGAACACCGGUGGCGAAGGCGGUUCUCUGGGCAUUACCUGACGCUGAGGAGCGAAAGUGUGGGGAGCGAACAGG
rnacentral:rRNA from 1 species